AAAAGUGAUAUACAUUCAACAAUCAAAUUAAAUUAAGCUAAAUAAUAAUUUUUUUAAUAUAUAUUUAAUUAUCAUAACUUAUCAUUUCAUAUAAAAUAUUUACAUAGAAAUACAAUUUCACCAUACACAUUAUUUAUUUUUACAAAAUUUUUAAAUAAUAAACUUUUAUUUAUCGUUCCCAUUUAUGAAAAACACCAGUAAUAUUUUUUAUACUCCUUUUCAAUAUUAUCUUUAUCGCUAGUCCAAAUCUUAUUCUAUAUAAUCAGACACAAAAUUUAUGAGUUCAACAAAAUAUUUAUUUUUAGAUUUUAAUAAUUAUGAAUUUAUACAAGGAGUAUUAGAAAAGAGUAUUAAAAUGAAAAGCCAAUUAUACCCGUAUGGUCACUCAUGGAAUAGCUUACUAAUUUAACCUUGAAGAUGUAUAAUCAAAAUUUAAAUGAAAUAUGUUAAUUACACACUCACCGGCGAAGGUACGGAAGGAGGCACCCGAUUUUCAGCAGGAAUCUCAACAAAUUCCGAGAGGAUUGCUCGGAACUCAUCACCGGUCAUCGUUUCUUUCUCAAGUAGGAUUUCCACAAUCUUGUCAAUAGCUUCACGGUUGUUCCUUAUGUGGCCCAAUGCAAUACCAUACGCGCUAUCCGAUAUCCUCUUGACAGCAGCAUCAAUAUCUUCUGCGAGCUUUUCUGACAUUGAAUUCCUUGCCAUCAUUCUCAUAAUGACAUCAGCACUUUGAGCUGAGGAGUCCAUGAGUGACCAUGGACCAAUUUCAGACAUUCCAAAUGUAGUCACCAUCUGUGACAGAUUAAAUUCUCCCAAUUUCAUUAAAUUGUUUUGGCAAAACAACAACAAAGGGAAUUUAGAGGUAUGCACAAAAGUAAGAAAUGCUAAAUAAAUCACCUACAGAAAGGGUAAGGAAAACUGUGCAACUAUUAACUUUAAAACAAGCUGAAAUUCCAAGUCAAAUUUCAAAGCAACUUAAAAAUGUUAAAAGAAAGGGAAAUUUAUAUUGAAUUUUACCACCAAUAACGAUUUGGUCCUUAGGUUUUGGAAAUUGAAUUAUUUAAUCCCUAACUUUUGCUUCUAUCAAAAUUACAAGUCCCUUCCUCCCUACUCUCUCCCUCUCUCUCUCCCCCUCAAAAGCUAAAGAAAACUCCGUGAAGAAACAAGCAAAGCUCACUUUCUUCCUUACACUAUCUGUGUCAUGAUGUUGUGUCGCAGGCUGCUCUCACUUUCUCUUCUCCUCACCUUUCUUUUCUUUUCUUCUUCAACUUUCUUGCCCUUCUCACAUGGUGCUUCUCAUAUUUACUCCUUCCAUGCUCUACCCCCUGCAGGUAAGGAAAAUGAAGCAAAGCUUGAUUUGGAGUUCUCGUGGGGGACUAGGAGGUCUGUUGUGGAGGCACCUCUUAGUGAACCCGUUGAGAGCUCAAUACUUGUGCUAGCUCCAAGGAGGACUUACAGAAAAGACCCUUUAGAUGGGUUCAAAAGGUACACUGGAGGAUGGAAUAUCAGUAACCGCCAUUACUGGGCUUCUGUAGGAUUUACUGCAGUUCCCCUGUUUGCUAUAGCUGCAGUCUGGUUCCUGGGCUUUGGGUUGUGCUUGCUUCUUUUCUGCCUCUGUUAUUUCUGCUGUGGAAAGAAGUCUUAUGGCUACUCUCCAAUAGCUUAUGCUCUUUCUCUUAUUUUCCUCAUCGUCUUCAGCAUUGGUGCUAUCAUUGGGUGUGUGAUUCUAUAUACUGGUCAGGGAAAAUUUCACAGAAGCACAACUGAAACUUUGGAGUAUGUUGUGAAUCAGGCAGAUACUACUGUUCAGAAAUUAAAGGAUGUGUCAAACUUUCUUGCUUCAGCCAAGCUAACUGCAGUUGAUAAAGUUUAUCUACCUUCCAAUGUCCAAACUGAUAUUGAUCAGAUCGAAACCAGAAUUAAUUCUUCCACUAGCAUCCUUGCUGAUCGAACAGUGGAGAAUUCGGGUGACAUACGUGAUCUCUUGGAUUCUGUGAGACUGGCACUCAUUGUUGUUGCUGGUAUUAUGCUUCUCUUGACAUUCCUUGGAUUCUUAUUUUCAAUUUUCGGCAUCCAAUUGCUAGUGUACAUCUUGGUUAUUGUUGGAUGGAUACUUGUUGCUGGAACAUUUAUAUUAUGUGGUACAUUCCUUCUUCUCCACAAUGUGGCUGGAGACACUUGUGUUGCAAUGAAUCACUGGGUACAAAAUCCCACUGCUCAUACAGCUUUAGAUGAUAUAUUGCCCUGUGUGGACAGUGCAACUGCACAAGAGACCUUAUUACGAAGCAAAGAAAUCACUCUUCAAUACGUUGAUUUGAUUAACUCAGUUAUCACCAAUGUUUCUAAUAUUAAUUUCUCCCCCAACUUUCCAUCAAUGUACUUUAAUCAAUCUGGUCCAUUGGUGCCAAUACUCUGCAACCCAUUUUACCAUGACUUCACAGAUCGACCUUGCAGCCCUGGUGAAGUGGAUCUGAACAAUGCAACACAUGCAUGGCAGAGCUAUGUAUGUCAGGUUUCAUCAACUGGUAUAUGCAUCACAACAGGACGUUUGACCCCGGCCAUAUAUGACCAAAUGACGGCUGCAGUGAAUUUAUGCAAUGGACUGGAAAAUUAUGGGCCUUUCUUGAUUGAGCUAGAAGACUGCACAUUUGUAAGGGAAACCUUCAGCGAAAUAUAUAAGAACCACUGUCCCAGUCUGCAGCGAUACACCAGGUGGAUCUACGUUGGACUGGUGAUGGUCUCUACUGCAGUUAUGCUGUCUAUUAUCUUCUGGGUUAUAUAUGGGAGAGAAAGGCGUCAGCGUCUAUACACAAAGCAACUCCAAGCUGAAUCAACCCAAGGAGUGGAAGAGGACAAGCAGUCCCAGUCCUAAGAGAAAACUCAAUACCUCUUGUUCUGCUGGCCUUCGUUGGUUGGAGAGUUUCUUUACGCUGGGUUUGGUUUGCGUUUUUGUAUAUGUACAUCGUAGUUCUUUUAAUUUUUUACUUUGUCUGGUAGUGGGGUGUGGAGAUUUUUUUAAAGGUCAAGUUAGGAAGGUAUGACAUCAAAAUAUGUCAAUUUAUUAAUUUGAUGGAUUAUAAAAGUAAGAGUUGGAUCAAAA
rnacentral:misc_RNA from 1 species